rnacentral:rRNA from 1 species
CUGUCCGACUGGUGGCGCUCGGCGCGCCGGAGCACGCCCAAGCCAAUGAAAAAGGGCCUUACCACCGCUACUCUGCUGAUCCCUUGGAUUACCUGGAAGCAUCGCAAUGACUGUGUGUUCAACGGCGCGACCCCUUCGACCAACUUGCUGAUCGCACAGAUCAAGGAUGCAGCUACGCUCCGGGCAAGAGUGGGAGCCCGUGGCCUGCGUGCCAUCCUACCACAAACCUGGGACGUACACUGA